CCCCUAGAUGUUCUGGGCCGCACGCGCGCUACACUGAACAGUUCAACAAGUCUUAACCUUGGCCGAGAGGUCUGGGUAAUCUUUGAACGCUGUUCGUGAUUGGGAUAGACCUUUGCAAUUAUGGGUCUUCAACGAGGAAUUCCUAGUAAACGCAAGUCAUCAGCUUGCAUUGAUUACGUCCCUGCCCUUUGUACACACCGCCCGUCGCACCUACCGAUUGAAUGGUCCGGUGAAAUCUCGGGACGGCGGCUUGGUCGCUUGCGUCCGACUGCUGAAACUUGAUUAAACCAUAUCAUUUAGAGGAAGGUGAANUCGUANCA
rnacentral:rRNA from 1 species